rnacentral:rRNA from 1 species
GGGUAACCUGCCCAAGAGAUCGGGAUAACACCUGGAAACAGAUGCUAAUACCGGAUAACAACAGAUGAUGCCUAUCAACUGUUUAAAAGAUGGUUCUGCUAUCACUCUUGGAUGGACCUGCGGUGCAUUAGCUAGUUGGUAGGGUAACGGCCUACCAAGGCGAUGAUGCAUGGCCGAGUUGAGAGACUGAUCGGCCACGUUGGGACUGAGACACGGCCCAAACUCCUACGGGAGGCAGCAGUA